UACAGAGGUGGCAAGCGUUGUUCGGAUUUAUUGGGCGUAAAGGGUCCGUAGGCGGUUUGAAAAGUCAGAUGUGAAAGCCCACAGCUCAACUGUGGAACUGCAUUUGAAACUUUCAGACUAGAGUGUGAGAGGGGUAAAGGGAAUUCCCGGUGUAAGGGUGAAAUCUGCAGAGAUCGGGAGGAACACCAGUCGCGAAGGCGCUUUACUGGCUCACAACUGACGCUCAGGGACGAAAGCUAGGGUAGCAAACGGG
rnacentral:rRNA from 1 species